rnacentral:lncRNA from 1 species
AUGUCUUACAAUGUUUUUGGUAAAGCCAUAAUGAUUAUGGUAGGGUGCAGAAAGUCACACGGCCGAGCUUCCUCUCCUGCAAAAGAAAAUACUUGGUGGAGGUCGCAUCUGGAAAGAGCACACGGGACACUGUGCCCUGGUUCUUACUGCAUCCGCUCGCUUCUCCUUGACCAAAUCAUGCCCGUCCCUACACUUAGCUUCAUGCAGAGGGGACCAUGCAAUCUUCCUGUAUGUUUCAGGAAGGGGGCAUAAACUCAGGAUGCGGCGGUAACAUCUGUACUGGGCAUCGUACAUCUGAGGUUUGCCAUUCCUUCUCACUAUAAAAGUACAUGUGUGUGAUUGAGCUGAGGUCGCUUAUACCACUAUAAUUUAAUCUCCAAAGUGAAUGUGGCAGGUACACAAUUCACUCAUAACAACAGAUGGUAUAAAAAGCCAUAGUCCAUGAAACAAAUGAGCUGCUCAAACAGAUUAAAACUGGUGGGAGGAUGGAGUGAUUACCUGGCAUGGACUAUUAUAAACACACUUGGCCUGGCUGUUGCUUCGUCGCUAAGUCAUGCCCAUCUCUGUGACCCCAUGCACUGUAGCCAGUAAGACUCCAUGGGAUUUCCCAGGCAAGGAAUGGGUUGCCAUUUCCUUCUCCAGGGGAUCUUCCAAGCCCAGGGAUCGAACCCGAGUCUCCUGCCUUGGCAGGUGGGUUCUUUAGCACACUGAACUUAGCAAACCCUUGGUUCUAGCUGCUGUCCCAUUUUCACUUUGCCAGCAGAAAUCUGGAUUCGGCAAACAUCAUGACAUCUAUUAUGCUGAGGUCUUCCAGUUCAGUUUUAUUGGUUUUAGAGUUUCACUUGAAAAUAAUUUGUAAAUCUGUUGUGGUUUUAUAGUUGUAUAUGAGAAAUAAAAUAAGAAUACCGUCAUAGUUUGGCUUGUUUCUUAAAUAACAUUAUAAUAGAGGCAAUUUAAGCCAACACAGGGGUUCUGCAAGAAUGUUUUUCCUUCGAAUGGUUCCUGAACUUUAUAAAAGUUGGAGACAUAUGGUGCAAAUUGUUUGAAAAUUGCUCAAAACCACCCAUCCAAAAUCUCCUGGAUUAUAGUGAAAUCCCUAACUGGCUGUACAAUGUGAGGUCACAAGCGGUGUAGUUUGUACCAAGCUCUGAGGUUAAAACCUGUGUUUAAAUGCUGGCAACACCAUUUAUGAACUAUAGAAACUUGGAAAAUUCUACACCUCGUCUGAGCACAAAUUUUCUCAUUCCUAAAAAUGAAGUAUCAGCAUAGUAACUUCGUCAGGUUGGGGCAAAGUUUAAGCGAGAUGACACACAUAAUUGUUGGCAUGCUGGGAACGUUGUGUCAGUGGCCACAGUUUUUAUGAUUAUUGUUGUCGUUGCUGUUGUUACAAGUCUCAGGCCUCUCAAUGAGCUUUUCCUCAAAUGAACUGAAACAGCAGAAUCCCAAACCCUCAGCCCCCAGAAACACAUCACCUGGUUUUACCCAAAUAGAGGAAUUUGGCCUGAAGUGAAUUGGGAAUCUGGCAGUUUUUUGAGGCCCUUAAUUAAAGGAGUGAAUCAUGUCAGAUAAUUAACGUGCAACCUUCAUAAGCAAUAAUCAUUACAGGAGUGGAAGCAUUAGCCCCGGGAAUUACAUGGAAAGCAUAACACCAUUUCGAUGUUUCUGAACGUUGGUUCUCAAGUCAGAUCUUCAUGACACUGUGCAGAAUACAUUCUUGAGCAAAGCUUUGGUAGUUGAGCUUCCCUGAUGGUUCAGUGGUAACGAAUCUAUCUGCAGCGUAGGAGGCUCUGCUUCAGGGGACUCCAGGCCCCCUGGAGGGGGACAUGGCAGCCCACUCCAGUAUUCUCGCCUGGGAAAUCCCAAGGAUGGAGGAGCCUGGCAGGCUACAGUCUAUAGGGUUGCAAAAGAGUCAGACACGAAUUAGCAGCUAAACAAAAGAAAUAGUAUCAAUAGUUGAAGACUGUCACUUCACAGCUGUCUUCAGAUUUUGUCUACUCUUCCCUAUGGGGGUUUUCUGGAGCAAGGAAAAUGCUACAAAGCAAAAACUGAUUUCGAAGGACUGAAUCAUGAGUGUGGCUUUUUGGCUGGUGGAGGUGGUUUUGUUUUGAGUUUGCUGGAAACAUUCUUCUUUUCUAUAUAUCUACCUUACAGAGCCACUAAGAGACAUAUUUCCACUUGGGUAUAUAAAUAUUUAUAAUCCAAUGUGCAGAACAUGGCAACAAUAAAAUGUAAGCACAUUUUUUAAAACAUCGAUGACUUUAAUUUGGUGUUGGCAAUUAGAAUUUCCAAAACACAGAGGCUAUGAAUAUAUGAGCACCUAAAUUGAUCUCCAAUGAACCAUCUUUCACAAACAUAUGCAUCCUUUACGCUCUGUAAACACCAAAGGCCUUGAAAGGCAAUUGCUCAACAAAUAAUUUUUUAAUGCCACUUUCUCAUUACAACAGCCCAAAGUCAUAAGGUAAAUUGUCAACUAAUGAAUUUCUUCCCCAGGUUAGAAUUUGAAAUGAAACGUCCCAGGAAUUUUGCUCAUGACAUUGAAAUUCAAAGGGUGUUAUGCAUAAGUACAGGCUUCAAAAAGUAAUUGGUAAUAAAUGGAGCAAAUGUCUUGCAUUAUUCCCAACCUAAUUUUCAAAUUUGAUUUUCUGAAUGUAAAACUCAAAGCAAAACAAUAACCAAUCAUGCAGCUAAUUGCUGUGAAACACAAAGGCAUCUUCCCACCAAUUUAUUUUGUAAUAGAGUUUGGUGUUAUAUACCUCUGAUGCACUCAAAACAUCACGAUUUGUUUAUCCUUAUGGAAAAUUAACAGUAAACGGAGUCUUAAUUUGGGAAAUGGGAACCAGAGAGUAAGACUUCUUGGGAUUAUUUACAAAAUGAUUUGUCUUUCUGUCUUCUGUUUUCAAGCAGGAAAUAAAAUGCUUGUUCACAGGCUGAAAAAAGGUAGUGACCUCUAAUGUAAGGAGAUCUGUCCUUUCCAAGGGAGACACGUAGUCAAGUUUCAAUCACAAUUGAUCUUUAAGAAAAAGGAUAAGAUGGAUUUGACUUAGGUCUCAUAUUUCCUUCAAAACUGAUGAAAGUUGACCAGCUAGAUGUUCUAACUAUAUUGUGUCUAAAUAUUUCUAUUUUGCUUGGUCACAUUAAAACUCCAAAUUUCUUUUUCUUUUAAUUAGAGUUUUGUUUUGUUUUAUAAUUAACUUGGAAAAAUCCAUUGCUAACACUGAAACAGUCAUUUCUGCCAGGCUUCCUAAAUGCAGACAAGAAAAAAAAUUUUGUCAAUUUUUCCAUCCGAAGUCAUUUUUAAGUAGCAAAUUCUUAAUGAGCUCUGUUGAGAGACUGCCAAUCAAGUCACUCCUUAGCAUUUCCCAGUUAUCAAGGCCAUGUUCGUGUCCAGAGGCACACAGGAUUUUAAAAGAUAACAUGCUUCCAUGAACUCACUCAUUUCUACCCAAAUGUUGGAAAAUCAGCCUCUAACCAGGACCAUUUCUAUUGUCAGGUGACAGUGGGUUUGUUACGGCAAUUACCCCGUUAUACGAGACUGUGUGCUGGUUGGGGGUGGUAUUCCUCAACAGUUCAUGAGCUCUUCAGAGAAAGGCUCUUCUUUAUGAAUCUUGGUCCCCUGGCUCCUCACCAGCAUCUGGCGUAGAAUGGGUAGCAAACUGAUUUACUGAAUGAAUGAGUCAAGAGUUAUUUGGGGAACACCUGUUAGGUGUCAGGCAUCAUUCUCGGUACUGGAGCUAUAGUAGGCAACGCGCUGGGAGGAGGACAGGGCAGCCCACUCCAGUGCUCUGCCCGGACAGCCCCAUGGACACAGGAGCCUGGCGAGCCACAAUACCCAGGGUCACAAAGAGUCACUGAGCACGCACGCAACGUGUCAGAGCCGCAGUUCUCAAAGAAAUCUCCAGGUCAGCAACAGCAGCACCAGGGAACUUCUUCACAUGCUCCUUCUUGGGCCUCAUGCCAAAGUGCCUGAAUCAGAAAUGCUGGGCAUGGCGGAGGCUUUAAAAAUGUCUCCAGCUGAUGGUGUCACAUGCCCAGGUGUGAGGGCCAGGGUAGCUCCUUUAGAGAGACUUGUAAAGGUGUGUGUGUGUGUGUGUGUGUGUGCGCACUAAGCCACUUCAGUCAUGUCCAACUCUCGACCCUGUGGAUGUAGCCCACCAGCCUCCUCUGUCCAUUAGAUCCUCCAGGCAAGAAUACUGAGUGGGAUGCCAUGCCCUCCUCCAGGGGAUCUUCCUGACGCAGGGAUCGAACCUGCUUCUCUUACAUGUCCUGAAUUGCCAGGCAGCUUCUUUACCACUGGCCCCACCUGGGAAGACUGACGAUCUCUGCUGCUGCUGCUGCUAAGUCACUUCUGUCGUGUCCAACUCUGUGCGACCCCAGAGACGGCAGCCCACCAGGCUCCCCGGUCCCUGGGAUUCUCCAGGCAAGAACACUGGAGUGGGUUGCCAUUUCUGUCCCCAGUGCAUGAAAGUGAAAAGUGAAAGUGAAUUUGCUCAGUCAUGUCUGACUCUUCACGACCCCAUGGACUGCAGCCCACCAGGCUCCUCCAUCCACAGGAUUUUCCAGGCAAGAGUACUGGAGUGGGUUGCCACUGCCUUCUCCAAUGAUCUCUCUAGUGGGUGGUAUUUCAGGUGAGAGCUGUUUUUUCUAUUUUUUUGGCCUGCACCACAGUUUAUGGGAUCUUUAUUUUCCUACCAAGAAUCUUCACACUUGUCAACCCUGAAAUGGAAGUGUGGAGUCCUGACCACUGGCAGCCAGGGAAUUACUAAGAGCUAUUUACAGAAAAGAAAAGAGCCAGCCAUAGAAAGAUCACGAGGGCAAGCAUUCCAGGCAGACAAACCUAGCAGUGCAAACACUAAGAUAAGAACAAGUUUGUUGAGUUCAAGGAAAAGGGGAAAAAAUUGAAAAGGUCAGUGUGGUUGAAUCAGGACAAAUAACAGCUAGAGUGGAACACUGGGUCCGAGAGAUGAGGAGGAAG